rnacentral:misc_RNA from 1 species
CAGCAAGAAAAUUUUGGAGCAAGAACGAGAGAGAUGUUCGGGUAUACGGGCGUGAGCAACAAGGGUGGAGAAGUUGACAUAGAAUCUGGGGAGACCUUGUACCCAGGUUUGAGCUAUGGCGAGAAUCAGCUCCGAUGGGGUUUCAUUCGCAAGGUCUACGGCAUCCUCGCGGCGCAGAUCGUGCUCACCACCAUUGUCUCCUCCGUCACCGUUUUGUACUCUCCGAUCAACGACCUUCUCCGGGGGAAUUCUGGCCUUCUUCUGUUCCUCUGCUUCCUACCCCUAAUCUUAUUAUGGCCCAUGUACAUUUAUAGGCAGAAGCACCCUCUGAACCUUGUCUUCCUUGGACUUUUUACGACUACACUUAGCCUCACAGUUGGCGUCAGCUGUGCAAACACUGAUGGCAGGAUUGUGCUUGAAGCACUAAUUUUGACCUCAGCAGUAGUUUCUUCCUUAACUGGAUACACCUUCUGGGCCUCAAAGAAAGGCAAGGACUUCAGCUAUCUUGGACCAUUUUUGUUUACUGCCCUAAUGAUUCUCCUCCUCACUAGCUUCAUUCAGGCCUUCUUCCCUCUUGGUCCUAUUUCCACAGCCGUUUACGGUGGAAUUGGUGCAAUAAUAUUCUCAGGGUACAUUAUAUAUGACACGGAUAAUCUGAUCAAGCGCUUUACCUACGACGACUACAUAUGGGCUGCAAUCACUCUAUAUCUGGAUAUCUUGAACUUGUUCCUCACCAUUUUGCGGAUGCUGAGACAGGGAGACAAUUAGGUGGACAAAGUUUUCUCUACCUGAAUUCAGGCUCAUCAUUCAGUUGCUUAUUUUAUAUAUAUAAUGUAUGGUUAAAAAUAAUUUUCGGUAAAAAAGUACAUAAUACUCUGAAGUAUUUUGCAUGUUGGCUUCUAGUUUUUCUUCUGACUGAAUGAAGUUUGGUAUUUUAGUUCAAUUUGUCCAGCUAAAUUUGG